rnacentral:rRNA from 1 species
CUGGCUCAGAACGAACGCUGGCGGCAGGCUUAACACAUGCAAGUCGAACGCACCUUUCGGGGUGAGUGGCAGACGGGUGAGUAACGCGUGGGAAUCUACCCU